rnacentral:rRNA from 1 species
UACGUAGGGACCAAGCGUUGUUCGGAUUUACUGGGCGUAAAGGGCGCGUAGGCGGCUUAACAAGUCACUUGUGAAAUCUCCGGGCUUAACCCGGAGCGGCCAAGUGAUACUGUAGUGCUAGAGUGCGGAAGGGGCUACUGGAAUUCUCGGUGUAGCGGUGAAAUGCGUAGAUAUCGAGAGGAACACCUGCGGCGAAGGCGGGUAGCUGGGCCGACACUGACGCUGAGGCGCGAAAGCCAGGGGAGCGAACGGG